GUAACGGCGAGUGAAGCGGCAACAGCUCAAAUUUGAAAUCUGGUCCCUAGGGCCCGAGUUGUAAUUUGUAGAGGAUGCUUUUGGUGAGGUGCCGCCCGAGUUCCCUGGAACGGGACGCCACAGAGGGUGAGAGCCCCGUCUGGCUGGCCGCCGAGCCUCUGUAAAGCUCCUUCGACGAGUCGAGUAGUUUGGGAAUGCUGCUCAAAAUGGGAGGUAUAUGUCUUCUAAAGCUAAAUAUUGGCCAGAGACCGAUAGCGCACAAGUAGAGUGAUCGAAAGAUGAAAAGCACCUUGAAAAGAGGGUUAAAUAGUACGUGAAAUUGUUGAAAGGGAAGCGCUUGUGACCAGACUUGGGCGCGGCGGAUCAUCCGGGGUUCUCUCCGGUGCACUUCGCCGCGUCUAGGCCAGCAUCAGUUCGUCGCGGGGGAAAAAGGCUUCGGGAACGUGGCUCCUCCGGGAGUGUUAUAGCCCGUUGCAUAAUACCCUGCGGUGGACUGAGGACCGCGCAUCUGCAAGGAUGCUGGCGUAAUGGUCACCAGCGACCCGUCUUGAAACACGGACCAAGGAGUCGUCUUCGUAUGCGAGUGUUCGGGUGUCAAACCCCUACGCGUAAUGAAAGUGAACGCAGGUGAGAGCUUCGGCGCAUCAUCGACCGAUCCUGAUGUUCUCGGAUGGAUUUGAGUAAGAGCAUACGGGGCCGGACCCGAAAGAAGGUGAACUAUGCCUGUAUAGGGUGAAGCCAGAGGAAACUCUGGUGGAGGCUCGCAGCGGUUCUGACGUGCAAAUCGAUCGUCAAAUAUGGGCAUGG
rnacentral:rRNA from 1 species